rnacentral:lncRNA from 1 species
UUUUUUUUUUCAUUUCAUCCUUGGAGAAUCUGAUAAUUAUGUUUCUUUGCAGGUGCACAAGAGGCAUGUCUUUCCCAUGUCUGCGCCCUAACAUUCUAUGUAUGCAGGGAAGUAAGUGUAAUGGGCAGUCCCAGGAGCAUCCCAAGUCUCUCAGUACCCAACUAUGUUGAAAGUCUAUAUCCCAAGCCUCUCAAUACCACCACUAUGUAGAAAGAAACAGCAGCAGCUCCAGCUAGCUGUCUCCCUAUCAUGACUUGAUGCCAUUGGAAAGUUCUGGAUCACCACGACUUACCGAUAUUCAUCAAGAAGCCAGACAGAAAAGCCCUGCUUGUCUAUGUCAAUGUUCUGUCAACAGUAACUUGUCUGUAGUCAUCUAUCUUUUAUGGUUUGAGAUCCCAUUUUCAUACCCAUUGUCUUCAUAACUUUGGGCAAGUUCUUUCCCCCGAGUCUUGAUUUCCUCAUCCAUAAGUUGGACAAAAUAACAGAAAACUCAAAUUCCGUUUAGAAAUAACUCAACUUUGGGCUGGCAGCCAAGGCUCAUGCCUGUAAUCCCAUUGAGGUCAUCUCAUCAAAUACUAUCCCAGUGCAGGGCUUCCUCCCUGACCUUCUGACAGAUGGUGUGCACAUUCAGCCACUACUCCAGCAGCAUCUUUCCUCCAACCUUCCCCUGGUCCUGUGCACAAUCCGCUGCUACCCCACUGAGUCUCUGUAAUGUGAACUGAAUUAUGUCCCCCCCAAAUUCAAAUUAUGUGGAAGCCCUAACCCCCAAUGGGACUGCAUUUGGAGACAGAGCCUUUAAAGAGGUAAUUAAGGCUAAAUGGGCUCGUAAGAGU